rnacentral:lncRNA from 1 species
ACAUUUGCAAUAGACAUGUCAAUAGUGAUUGCUACCUUGCCCAGCCCAAUUACAUGCCCUUUCGACCCUCCACCAAAUACAAUGCUCAUGUAUGGUCGAAUGGCUUGCAUGAAGUCAUAGAGCAAGUUACUAUCUCCGGUCAUAUGAUUGGUGCAUCCACUGUCGAUCACCCAUUUGGCUCCUCCAGAGAAAACAACCUGUAACAAAUUAAGACUUGGUUUGAGGUACCCAUUUUGUCACGGGGCCUUUCACAUUAGUCACAAGAGUCUUAGGGACCCAAAUAGCAUAGAAUCGGAAUGCAUUACGGGGACCAACGAAUUUAGCAUAGACCUC